rnacentral:rRNA from 1 species
AUACGGAGGGUGCAAGCGUUGUGCGGAAUCAUUGGGCGUAAAGAGCGCGUAGGCGGCUUGGUAAGUCGGGUGUGAAAUCCCGGGGCCCAACCCCGGAACUGCAUUCGAAACUGCCUCGCUAGAGUCUCGGAGAGGAAGGCGGAAUUCCCGGUGUAGAGGUGAAAUUCGUAGAUAUCGGGAGGAACACCAGCGGCGAAGGCGGCCUUCUGGACGAUGACUGACGCUGAGGUGCGAAAGCGUGGGGAGCAAACAGGAUUAGAUACCCCAGUAGUCC